ACCUGUCUUCGAGCCCCUGCGCCUGUGAAAAACGAUAUGGAGCAUGGGCCGCGCCGGAAAGCCCGGUUCAGGGCGCGGCUGGAAACGGCUGCACCUUCCGCAUUUGAAAAGGAAA
rnacentral:ncRNA from 1 species